UGACUGCUGAGGAGUCCCAUACUAGGACGAAACGGUUGUCCAGUGC
rnacentral:hammerhead_ribozyme from 1 species